GCAGCAUUCCCUGGCCCCAAGGGCAUCUGGACACAGCCAUUCCUGGUGGGUUUGCUGCUGCCUCAACACCCUGACCUUCUCCAGGCAGCCAUACCAGAGGAUUUCAGCCCAAGACUAAGGCAUCUCCUCAAUCUCCUCCCAGGUAGAAUUCAAGUCCUUCCUCACUGACCUCAGUGUCCCAUAUUGUUUUCCCUGCGUGUCUUUACCCUUUCCUUUUCCUGAUUCAGGAGAGAACGGGUGCUCGUAGGCAUUUGUUCUCAAGCUUUAUCAACUGAAACAGCUUUUAUGGAGCUCUGCAGCGCUGAAAGGUUGAUCUCACCCAGGCUAUACAUCAGGGAGAUCAUUUGCAGUACCUCUCGCUGCUGCUCACGGGGUCUCUGCCGACACUCAGCUCCACUCAGCGCUUUCCUUCAUGUGCAGCGCCGAAAACAAGAAAAGCUGCUGCUGCCGUUUUUGUCCUUCUGUCUGCAGCAGGGCUGGCUAAAAGCAGCUAAACAGAGAGUUCAUUGCAAGCCAUGCUGAGGCAGCCACAGCCGCGUGCCAUUGUCCUGGUCAUGCUGAUUUCAGCCAUGCAGUCCCAGGCACUUGGCCCCUCCUGGCUCUGGCUGCUCCUGGCCUCAGGGAGGCCCUCAGGGCUGACUAUGGGGCCACUCCCAGCACUGGUCCCCGCUGCCUGGUUGCCGGUAUGGCCCUGGCCAGCAUGGCCCAGUGGUGCCACCGGAAAAAAGAACCGGGGGACUCCGCUAGGAAAGGGGCCUGGCUCCGCCAGGAUGAGGCCUGGAGGGCUCCCUGGUGAGGGGCUCCUCAGCCUGCCCACCACCCCUCAGAGGGCAGAAAUUUCAGCCAAGCCACGCCCAGCCGCAGGCCGUGCCCAUCUGGCCACACAGGACCAGUGACCUGUUCAAAGGCCGGAAGCCAGAGAGGGUUUUCCUGGCCUUUAUUAAUUUUUAAAGUGCUUUUCCACAGAGGCACGCUCAAAUCUUUUAAGUGGGUGAACCAGGUGUCAAUCUUCAAAAUUAGCCAGCUGAUUGGCUCUUCAAAACUAGCUACGAUUGGCUCUUCAAAACUAGCCACCUGAUUGGCUCUUCAAAACUAGCUACUUGAUUGGUUCUUCAAAACUAGCCACCUGAUUGGCUCUUCAAAACUAGCCAUCUGAUUGGCUCUUCAAAACUAGCCACCUGAUUGGCUCCGCCGUGUCCCCACAAAACUGCCCCCACAGGCCUUGGACUGUUCCAACCCAACUGACAACCCGGCUCGGUUAAACCACGGCUCUGGGAAAGAGAAUAAAAGCCUUCAUCCCCUCUGCAAUUUCAGGAACACGGAGCCCAGGUUUCUGCACCAUCUGAGGUCCUGCAUGUCCCCAUUACCUUGGUGUCCCCUCUGCAGCCCUGUGAAGUCCCAGGUGAGGAAGCAGCCAUGAAGAUCCUGUUCCUGCUCUUCCCCCUGAUCCUCCUGUUGGCCCAGGGUGCUGCAGAAACAGGCAGUGCAAUUCAAUGCAGAGAGAGAAGAGGAAUCUGUUCUUUUGUAAGAUGUCGCCCCCCUCUAAGAACUAUUGGAAAAUGUACAGCACUAGCUGUGUGCUGCAGAAGAUUUUAGGGUGAAAACCCUGAAAUUCCUGAUAAGAACAUCCCAUUUGCUUCUGGCUGCUGGACCCAUCUCCUGAUGUCCCCUGCCAUCCCUGCCUGUGCCGUGCCCAGCUGGGGUGACAGCAGCAGUGGCAGCUGCUCCUGCUGGCUGCUGCUGGGCUGGAGCCCUGUGGUGCCAGCCCCGCUGUCUUUGGGGCAGGGGCUGCUUUUCCCAGCUUGAAUAAAGACGAGCACUUUGGCAUUGCA